CCCCAUUUGAGAGUCAAUGGCUUCACAAGUAGGUAUCAUAAAUAAAUAAACAAACAAACAAAAUUAGCUGAGUGAAAAAUUAGAAUGGUAGUUGAUUCAUAUAAAAACUUGUUUCUGGUGGUUAUAAUGCAAAGUCUUGAGAUGUAAGGUUGACUCAGGGUAUUUAUUAGGCUGUUCUUUGCGUCCACGCACAUGUAAAUAAAUAAACAAAAUACAUUCAAUUCUAUUAAGGUUUUUUUUUUUUUUUUGGGUGGAUAAAGGUUAGGAAAAUAAAGUUAUAUAUAAAAGGAAUUCCACAAAAAAUUACAAUUUACACCUCUGCCUCCAUUCUCUUCCUCUCUCUCUCUCUGCUCUGCUUUGACUGCCGGCACUGGUCGGGGAACCACCAGCCGUGGAACUUCCAGGGGUUGUUGAGAGAAGAAAGAGAUAUACCAGUUAGAUUCAAAGGCAUUAGCGGUCAUAAUUAACCAAAUUCCAAAAAUGACUUCAUAAACAUGUUCGAAUUCAUCAUUUUCAUCAACAGGCGAAAGCUAUACAGACCAUUUGUACAACGCUUUGAUUCAGAAAGGAAUUUUUGGACAUAACUUGUUUCUUCAAUGGAAAGGAUAGACAUGAUGUGGAAAAAAUAUUACAAAGUCAGUGAUUUCACCCAAAGAUCAGUAUACAAGUGCUUAUUGAGAGAUCUCUAAUGACUCUGGUAGAAAAUAAGCUGUGGAUGCCCAAUUUGCUACAGGAAUUUGGCAGGGAUAUUGUUGCCCUAAAAGCCAAGCAAACUAAGUAGGCUGUGGAAAGCAUAGGAAAUUUUAGCUUGAAGCGGUUUAAAUUUUAGUUGAACUGUAUCAGUUGAGCUUUCAAGUUCUUAUUUUGGGUAUUGUAUGCUCUUGAGUCUUGAAGUCAUUCGUAAGUAACAAUUUAUGGAAUGAAGUUUUAUUUCCUGAAUUUUAUUACAUAUUGAUUUUAUGGACUACUUGUAUCUCUUUUAAUACAUGAUUAAGUAUACAAUUAAACAUAUUAAUUUGUUGAA